GCCCACUGAUGAGAUUAUGGCAAGUAUUAUGAUCUAGUUGGACCAAGAGAUUGUGGCCUCUAGCCUGCUGAUUGAUGGGUAAUCUUGGUAGUGUAAUGGAGUUUUCUUGCAUUGCUGUAAGGGCCCAUCAACAUUUCAUUUGACGCCUCUGAACUUGGACCCCUGCCCCCCCAAGAGCAUUGGGAUGGGACAGGAAGGAGGGGUCAAACAUUAUGCAAAUGCUUGUUCUUGUAUGUCUGUUGUAUGAAUGUAUAUGUAUCAGCUUGCAAGGAUCCACAGUCUAUAUGUACUUGGUUUGACUGUAGUGAAGUACUCUUUGGUAAUCUGAGGGCA